CAGUCGCCGCGGUAAUACGAAGGGUGCAAGCGUUAAUCGGAAUUACUGGGCGUAAAGCGUGCGUAGGCGGUGAGUUAAGUCUGCUGUGAAAUCCCCGGGCUCAACCUGGGAAUGGCAGUGGAUACUGGCUCGCUAGAGUGUGUCAGAGGAUGGUGGAAUUCCCGGUGUAGCGGUGAAAUGCGUAGAGAUCGGGAGGAACAUCAGUGGCGAAGGCGGCCAUCUGGGACAACACUGACGCUGAGGCACGAAAGCGUGGGGAGCAAACAGGAUUAGAUACCCGAGUAGUCCCUGUCUCUUAUAU
rnacentral:rRNA from 1 species